GACUCAGAAAGUUCGGUCACAGGAGGAUCUUCUCACCCACCCUCGCACCCAGGAGAGAAGGCAGGGACUUAGAGGGAGAGACACUAGUGUAGGGGGGAAGGGCUGUAUCUACCAGCUGAGAGGCCAGAAGACAGAAGCGUCACUGCACCCAGCUGUCUCUCCCCGCAGCUCAGCUCUCUGGACCAAAUAUCACACAACAGUGGUCAGAAGAGCAGGCAGAGUGAGAUGGCCUGACUUCAAACCCCACCUUCAAAUCACUUUCUGCCUGUAUGACCGGUAUGGACUGAACUGUGUGCUCCCCUUUUGUAUCUGGAGAUGCGGUCCUAGGGAAGUAAUUAAGGUUAAAUGAAAUCAUAAGGGUGAGGCCAGCUCUGAUAGGAUUAGUUCCUUACAAGAAGAGACAACAGAAAGGUCUCUCUCCCCCUGUAUGAGGAAAGGCUGUAUGAGGACUGGGGCAGGAAGGUGGCUGUCUGCAAGCCAGGAAGAGAGCUCUCACCAGAAACCAAGCCCUGCUGGACCUUGAUCUGGGGCUUCUGGCCUCCAGAACUGUGAGAAAAUAGAUUUCAGUUG